UACUUAUUGUUCGCUCUUGAAUCGGCAUUACUGGGCGUAAAGCGUGCGCAGGCGGCUUUGCAAGACAGAUGUGAAAUCCCCGGGCUCAACCUGGGAACUGCAUUUGUGACUGCAAGGCUAGAGUACGGCAGAGGGGGAUGGAAUUCCGCGUGUAGCAGUGAAAUGCGUAGAUAUGCGGAGGAACACCAAUGGCGAAGGCAAUCCCCUGGGCCUGUACUGACGCUCAUGCACGAAAGCGGGGGGAGCAAACAGGAUUAGAUACCCGUGUAGUCC
rnacentral:rRNA from 1 species